GGUUAAGCGACUAAGCGUACACGGUGGAUGCCCUGGCAGUCAGAGGCGAUGAAGGACGUGCUAAUCUGCGAUAAGCGUCGGUAAGGUGAUAUGAACCGUUAUAACCGGCGAUUUCCGAAUGGGGAAACCCAGUGUGAUUCGUCACACUAUCAUUAACUGAAUCCAUAGGUUAAUGAGGCGAACCGGGGGAACUGAAACAUCUAAGUACCCCGAGGAAAAGAAAUCAACCGAGAUUCCCCCAGUAGCGGCGAGCGAACGGGGAGGAGCCCAGAGCCUGAAUCAGUGUGUGUGUUAGUGGAAGCGUCUGGAAAGGCGCGCGAUACAGGGUGACAGCCCCGUACACAAAAAUGCACAUACUGUGAGCUCGAUGAGUAGGGCGGGACACGUGGUAUCCUGUCUGAAUAUGGGGGGACCAUCCUCCAAGGCUAAAUACUCCUGACUGACCGAUAGUGAACCAGUACCGUGAGGGAAAGGCGAAAAGAACCCCGGCGAGGGGAGUGAAAAAGAACCUGAAACCGUGUACGUACAAGCAGUGGGAGCCUCUUAAUGGGGUGACUGCGUACCUUUUGUAUAAUGGGUCAGCGACUUAUAUUCUGUAGCAAGGUUAACCGAAUAGGGGAGCCGAAGGGAAACCGAGUCUUAACUGGGCGUUAAGUUGCAGGGUAUAGACCCGAAACCCGGUGAUCUAGCCAUGGGCAGGUUGAAGGUUGGGUAACACUAACUGGAGGACCGAACCGACUAAUGUUGAAAAAUUAGCGGAUGACUUGUGGCUGGGGGUGAAAGGCCAAUCAAACCGGGAGAUAGCUGGUUCUCCCCGAAAGCUAUUUAGGUAGCGCCUCGUGAAUUCAUCUCCGGGGGUAGAGCACUGUUUCGGCAAGGGGGUCAUCCCGACUUACCAACCCGAUGCAAACUGCGAAUACCGGAGAAUGUUAUCACGGGAGACACACGGCGGGUGCUAACGUCCGUCGUGAAGAGGGAAACAACCCAGACCGCCAGCUAAGGUCCCAAAGUCAUGGUUAAGUGGGAAACGAUGUGGGAAGGCCCAGACAGCCAGGAUGUUGGCUUAGAAGCAGCCAUCAUUUAAAGAAAGCGUAAUAGCUCACUGGUCGAGUCGGCCUGCGCGGAAGAUGUAACGGGGCUAAACCAUGCACCGAAGCUGCGGCAGCGACACUAUGUGUUGUUGGGUAGGGGAGCGUUCUGUAAGCCUGUGAAGGUGUACUGUGAGGUAUGCUGGAGGUAUCAGAAGUGCGAAUGCUGACAUAAGUAACGAUAAAGCGGGUGAAAAGCCCGCUCGCCGGAAGACCAAGGGUUCCUGUCCAACGUUAAUCGGGGCAGGGUGAGUCGACCCCUAAGGCGAGGCCGAAAGGCGUAGUCGAUGGGAAACAGGUUAAUAUUCCUGUACUUGGUGUUACUGCGAAGGGGGGACGGAGAAGGCUAUGUUGGCCGGGCGACGGUUGUCCCGGUUUAAGCGUGUAGGCUGGUUUUCCAGGCAAAUCCGGAAAAUCAAGGCUGAGGCGUGAUGACGAGGCACUACGGUGCUGAAGCAACAAAUGCCCUGCUUCCAGGAAAAGCCUCUAAGCAUCAGGUAACAUCAAAUCGUACCCCAAACCGACACAGGUGGUCAGGUAGAGAAUACCAAGGCGCUUGAGAGAACUCGGGUGAAGGAACUAGGCAAAAUGGUGCCGUAACUUCGGGAGAAGGCACGCUGAUAUGUAGGUGAAGUCCCUCGCGGAUGGAGCUGAAAUCAGUCGAAGAUACCAGCUGGCUGCAACUGUUUAUUAAAAACACAGCACUGUGCAAACACGAAAGUGGACGUAUACGGUGUGACGCCUGCCCGGUGCCGGAAGGUUAAUUGAUGGGGUUAGCGGUAACGCGAAGCUCUUGAUCGAAGCCCCGGUAAACGGCGGCCGUAACUAUAACGGUCCUAAGGUAGCGAAAUUCCUUGUCGGGUAAGUUCCGACCUGCACGAAUGGCGUAAUGAUGGCCAGGCUGUCUCCACCCGAGACUCAGUGAAAUUGAACUCGCUGUGAAGAUGCAGUGUACCCGCGGCAAGACGGAAAGACCCCGUGAACCUUUACUAUAGCUUGACACUGAACAUUGAGCCUUGAUGUGUAGGAUAGGUGGGAGGCUUUGAAGUGUGGACGCCAGUCUGCAUGGAGCCGGCCUUGAAAUACCACCCUUUAAUGUUUGAUGUUCUAACGUUGGCCCCUGAUCGGGGUUGCGGACAGUGUCUGGUGGGUAGUUUGACUGGGGCGGUCUCCUCCUAAAGAGUAACGGAGGAGCACGAAGGUUGGCUAAUCCUGGUCGGACAUCAGGAGGUUAGUGCAAUGGCAUAAGCCAGCUUGACUGCGAGCGUGACGGCGCGAGCAGGUGCGAAAGCAGGUCAUAGUGAUCCGGUGGUUCUGAAUGGAAGGGCCAUCGCUCAACGGAUAAAAGGUACUCCGGGGAUAACAGGCUGAUACCGCCCAAGAGUUCAUAUCGACGGCGGUGUUUGGCACCUCGAUGUCGGCUCAUCACAUCCUGGGGCUGAAGUAGGUCCCAAGGGUAUGGCUGUUCGCCAUUUAAAGUGGUACGCGAGCUGGGUUUAGAACGUCGUGAGACAGUUCGGUCCCUAUCUGCCGUGGGCGCUGGAGAACUGAGGGGGGCUGCUCCUAGUACGAGAGGACCGGAGUGGACGCAUCACUGGUGUUCGGGUUGUCAUGCCAAUGGCACUGCCCGGUAGCUAAAUGCGGAAGAGAUAAGUGCUGAAAGCAUCUAAGCACGAAACUUGCCCCGAGAUGAGUUCUCCCUGACUCCUUGAGAGUCCUGAAGGAACGUUGAAGACGACGACGUUGAUAGGCCGGGUGUGUAAGCGCAGCGAUGCGUUGAGCUAACCGGUACUAAUGAACCGUGAGGCUUAACCUU
rnacentral:rRNA from 1 species